UACGUAGGGUGCGAGCGUUGUCCGGAAUUAUUGGGCGUAAAGAGCUCGUAGGCGGUGUGUCACGUCGGCCGUGAAAACCUGCAGCUUAACUGUGGGCGUGCGGUCGAUACGGGCAUCACUGGAGUUCGGCAGGGGAGACUGGAAUUCCUGGUGUAGCAGUGAAAUGCGUAGAUAUCAGGAGGAAUACCGAUGGCGAAGGCAGGUCUCUGGGCUGAUACUGACGCUCAUGCACGAAAGCGUGGGGAGCAAACAGG
rnacentral:rRNA from 1 species